GGAAAUGGCAACCCACUCCAGUGUUCUUGCCUGGAGAAUCCCAGGGACAGAGGAGCCUGGUAGGAAGCUGUCUAUGGGGUUGCACACAACUGCGACCCCCAUGGGGUCGCUAAGAGUCGGACACAACUGAAGCAACUUAGCAGCAGCAGCAGCAGCAGCAGCAGCAGCUAGUUAUCUGGUCAGUACUUCAGAAUUUACAGAAAAAUGGUGAAGUUAAGAACGAGACUGCAAGGAGAUCCAAGCAGUCCAUCCUAAAGGAAGUCAGUCCUGUAUAUUCAUUGGGAGGACUAAUGUUGAAGCUCAAACUCCAAUACUUUGGCCACCUGAUCCGAAGAACUGACUCAUUUGAAUAGACCCUGAUGCUGAGAAAGAUUGAAAGCGGAAGGAGAAGGGGAUGACAGAGGGUGAGAUGGUUGGAUGGCAUCACCGACUCAAUGGACAUGAAUUUGAGUAAACUCCGGGAGUUGGUGAGGGACAGGGAGGUCUGCAUGCUGCAGCCCAUGGGAUCGCAAAGAGUCGGACAUGACUGAGCAACUGAACUGAACUGAAGAACAAGAGCUCCCAUAUAUCCCAAUCCUUGUUCCCACUGUUGUUAACAUCUUAUAUUAUUGUGAUACAUUUGUUUCAAUGAAUGAAACAAUAUGGACACAUUUUUAUUAGCUAAAGUCCAUAGAUGAUUCAGAUUUUCUUACUUUUUACCUAAUGCCCUUUUUCUACCAGGGUCCCAUCCAAGAAGCCUGGUGCCUAACUAAAUUAUAUGUAAGUCAUUUUGUCUCCUUGGCUCCUUCUGCCUGUGAUAGUUUCUCAGGCUUUCCUUGUUUUUGAUGACGUCAACAAUUUGGGGGAGUCCUGAUCAGGUACUUUGGAGAAUGUCUAUCAACUGGGAUCCAUCUGUUGUCUGUCUCAUUUUCAGAUUGGGGUUCUAAGUUUGGGAGUGGAAGAUUGGAGAGAGGUGUCCAUGUCAUAUUUUAUCAAAGGUGCCCACUAUGAACAUGACUGAUCACUACUGAUAUUGACCUUGAUCACCUGGCGGAGGUACAGAGGAGACACUGAAUUCAUGUUGAUUGACAUUAUGGAAAAAAGUGUUAAACAUAUGGCAUCUGAAUUCUAUUUUAAUUUCAUUUGCAUUAAAUACAAUGAUUAUAAACC
ensembl:lncRNA